AACGCACAUUGCGCCCGCCAGCAUCCUGGCGGGCAUGCCUGUUCGAGCGUCAUUUCAACCCUCAGGCUCUGCCUGGCGUUGGGGACCUGCGCCUCGCAGCCCCCGAAAGACAGCGGCGGUCCCGUCCCGGCACCGAGCGUAGUAGCACAUCUCGCUAUGGGCGUUCGGGCGGUGGCCUGCCGGAAAACACCCCUUUUCGUGGUUGACCUCGGAUCAGGUAGGAAUACCCGCUGAACUUAA
rnacentral:misc_RNA from 1 species